UUCAUAUUUCUUAUAAAAGCAUAUAUUAUUGGCUUAUGGUUAUAUUCAACUUUUUUUCUUUAAUAAAAAAAUUAAAUAUAGAAGUUGCAUAUAAAAAAAAGUUUAUAUGAACAUAUACAUAUAUAUACUUGUAUACUCUUGUUGCUAUAUUUUUUAUUAUUAAUAUAAGAAGUUCUUGAUAUAUGAGAAUAAAACAUUGUCCAUAUUAAAUUAAUAUAAAAGAUUGAUCACGUGAUAUUUUCUAUUUCAUUGUUUCAAAUUAUGAGGUAAUAUAUAUAAUGAAUGUCCACAUAAAAUGAAUAAUUAUAUGUACAUAUAUAUAUAUAUAUAUAUAUGUAAAUUUUUUUAAUUUUUUAUUUUAUAUAAAUAAUAAUAUUGUGCAAAAUGUAUUCAUAUAUUUCUUGAAAAAUAUUUAUAUCUUCAUUUUUUUUUUUUUUUAACACUCAAUUGAGAAAUAUGAUCAUUGUAAAAAUAUAGAGAUGGUAUUCUAUAAAACCAUAGUGUAGGCAUAUGACAUAUAAAUUAUUAUGUAUGACAUAUAAAUUGUUAUGUAUGACAUAUAAAUUGUUAUGUAUGUCAUAUAAAUGAUCAUGUAUGAUAUAUUAAAUAUAUUGUAUAUAUUUAUAUAACAUUUAUAAUAUAUACAUAUUACAUAUAUAGAAUUUUAUUUAAAAAAAUAAUUUCCAUGCCACAAUAUUUUUUUUUUACACACAAAAUAAUAUGCACUUCAAAUGAUAUGUAUAAUAUGUAUAACAUAUUUUUUAUAUAUGUACAUUUUUUUUUAAAUAUAUUUUAAUAUAAAGUAAAAAUAAUAUAUAAUUUACAAUAUAUACACAAAAAAAAAAAAGAAAAAAAAGAAAAAAAAUUAUAGUAUGGUAAUAAAUAUAUAUUAUUUGAUAUAUGUAUGAUAUUAUAAAUUAUUAUUAUUAUUUUUUUUAUUUUUUUUUUUUUUGUAUAUAUUGUAAAAUAGGAACUGCAUAUGCAUGUAAUUUAAUGUAUAUAUAAUAUUUUCCUUUAUAUGUGUAUUAUUUUAUUUUAUUUUAUUUUUACAUUAUAUUUUACCACGUUUACACGUAACGCAUGUUAAUUUUUUUUGUGAGCGCAUCGGAUGUAUGAUAUCUAAAAAAGAAGAAAUAAAAUAUGAAAAGUUUAAAAAAUAUAAAAAAAUAAAUAUCUUUUU